GACGAACGCUGGCGGCGUGCUUAACACAUGCAAGUCGAACGGAAAGGCCCUGCUUUUGUGGGGUGCUCGAGUGGCGAACGGGUGAGUAACACGUGAGUAACCUGCCCUUGACUUUGGGAUAACUUCAGGAAACUGGGGCUAAUACCGGAUAGGAGCUCCUGCUGCAUGGUGGGGGUUGGAAAGUUUCGGCGGUUUGGGAUUGACUCGCGGCUUAUCAGCUUGUUGGUGGGGUAGUGGCUUACCAAGGCUUUGACGGGUAGCCGGCCUUGGAGGGUGACCGGGCACAAUGGGCCGUGGGUACGGCCCAGACUCCUACGGUGAGCAACAGGGGGGAAUAUUGCACAAUGGGGCGGAGCCAGAUGCAGCAGCGCCGGGUGCGGGAAUACCGGCUUUUGGGUGUAAACCGCUUUCGCCUGUGACGAAGCGUGAGUGACGGUAAUGGGUAAAGAAGCACCGGCUAACUACGUG
rnacentral:rRNA from 1 species